rfam:Oryza sativa (indica cultivar-group) chromosome 1, whole genome shotgun sequence.
AAAAAGACAAACCCUAGAUUUUUGUGUCCAACAUUUGACUAUCCGUCUUAUAUAAAUUUUUUUAUAAUUAGUAUUUUCAUUGUUGUUAGAUGAUAAAACAUGAUUAAUAUUUUAUGCGUGACUUAUCUUUUUAAUUUUUUCAUAUUUUUUUUAAAUGAGACGGAUGGUCAAACCUUGGACACGGAAACAGAUGAUUUGUCUUUUU